GAUUCCACAUCUUGAAUCUUAAUUCGUAUCAUAACAUGCUAUUUCUUAUAUUUCCAGUACUUUCCAUCUUCUUCCUACUCCAUUCUAUGGAGCAUGUGGAAGAAAUUAAAAACCAGCAGUGGCAACCCGCUAAACCUGCCACCUGGACCCAAAAAGCUACCUAUCACAGGAAAUAUGCACCAGUUGAUUGGCUAUCUACCCCAUCGCAGGCUGAGAGACUUGGCAAAGAAAUAUGGGCCAAUUAUGCACCUUCAAUUUGGACAAGUAUCGACAAUUGUCAUUUCUUCUUCAGGAACAGCUAAGGAAAUAAUGAAAACUCAUAAUGUCAUCUUUGCUCAGAGGCCCUUCGUCCUGGUUGCAGAAAGUUGUAUUUUACAACCGAGGAGAUAUUAUUAUUUUUGCAUCUUAUGGAGACUACCGGUGGCAGCUUCGAAAAAUUGUACACUGGAGCUUCUUAGUUCAAAACGUGUGCAAUUGUUCCAAUCGAUCAGAGAAGAAGAGGUAUCAAAUCUCAAUAAAUCUAUAUCUUCCAGUGCAGGAUCUCCCGUCAACCUUAGCAAAAUGUUGUUUUCUUCAUCGUGUUGUGCUCUGCAAGAAAUGCAAAGACCAGGAAACAUUCAUGCCACUUGCUAAGGAAACUGUUAACAAGAUGCAAGGCUUUAGCGUUGCAGAGUUUUCCCUCUAUUAAAUUGCUUCGUGUGAUUACUGGAAUUCAGUACAGACUCGAGAAAUUGCAUAAAAGGCUAGAUAUGUUGCUUGAGAACAUAAUCAAUGAACAUAGAAUUUACUGGGCAACAGCAAAAGGUGAUCAGGGUGAAGCUGAAUUGGAAGAUAUUGUUCAUACUCUGUUGAAUCUUCAAGAACAUGGCGACCUUGAAUUUCCAUUAACAACAAACAAUAUCAAAGCAAUUAUCCUGGUUAGUAUCACCUUUAACGAUUCAAUAACUUGUUUAUUUUAAGAAAGCCCUAUUAGUUUUGUAGAUUUUUCAUUCAGUUUCUAUAAUUAUAUUUUAUUUGUUCAAUUUCUGUAUUUGAACUCUUAAUAAUUCAUUCAUCUUCUAUAUUUAUUAGAGCAUUGUUCACCGCAAUUACUCUCCACACACAGGAUUUUCGUUACUUUAAAAACAGAGAUAAAACAGAGAUUGCUUUAAUCAAGUUAUAACCAUUAUCCUGUUGUAGGAGAUGUUUAUUGCUGGGACUGAUACAUCAGCGACAGUGGUAGAAUGGGCAAUAUCAGAACUGAUAAAAAAUCCAAGAGUGAUGAGUAAAGCACAAGCAGAAGUGAGGCAAGUUCUUAACAGAAAAAGAAAUGUUGAGGAAGCAGGGCUUGAAGAAUUGAAGUACUUAAAGACAGUGAUCAAAGAAACUCUGAGGAUACACAUUCCAGGUCCAUUGCUAUCUCCCAGGGAAAAUAAAGAGCAAUGCCAAAUCAAUGGAUACAACAUUCACAUCAAGACUAGAGUCAUUGUGAAUGCAUGGGCAAUUGGAAGGGAUCCAGAUUAUUGGAUUGGUGCUGAAAAGUUUUAUCCAGAGAGAUUUUUGGAAUGCAAAAUUGAAUUCAGGGGAAGUAAUUUUGAAUUUUUGCCGUUUGGGGCUGGAAGGAGGAUGUGUCCAGGUCUGUCAUUUGGUAUAGCUAAUUUGGAGCUUCCACUUGCACAGUUAUCGUAUCAUUGUAAUUGGGAACUACCUCAUAAUUCCAAGAAAGAAGAACUGGACAUGAGGGAUGCCUUUGGGACUAUAGUUAGAAGAAAAUUUGAUCUGUGUGUAAUUCCUAUUCCAUGCCAUCCCUGAAGUAUGAAACUUUAUCAUCUCUCUAUAAAAAAUAAAUAAAUAUUUAUUUAUAUACUUGUAAGUGUAUCAACAUGUUAUCAUAAAUAAUAAAAUUUUAUUAUAUAUGAGUGAGAUCAAAAUUUUAAAAAUUUUAUCAAAAUUAAAGAUUAAUUAAACAUGAGGCAAGGAAGGACUUUUGUUUUCUUAAAAAGAAAAAAACUUCUAUUUAGGGUGAGUUUUCUCUUGCAAUAAAAGCAAUAAAUAAAUAAAUAAUAUUUAAUCCAGAAAAGUUAGGUGCACCACCCCAAUAAACCAAAUAAAGGCAGCUUACUAAUCUUGAUUUCUAAUAUGAAAUGUUAAACAGACCAAUGACUUUAGCCUUCGGGAGCGACAAUAAUUCUUGUUGGUAAUCAAAUGCAGAGAAAGUAAA
rnacentral:misc_RNA from 1 species